rfam:Triticum aestivum genome assembly, contig: Triticum_aestivum_CS42_TGACv1_scaffold_593833_7BS
CUAGUACUCCCUCCGUCCGGAAAUACUCGUCGGAGAAAUACAUAAAAAUAAAUAUAUCUAAAGCUAAAAUACAUCUAGAUACAUCCAUUCCUCCGACAAGUAUUUCCGGACGGAGGGAGUACUUC